GCUGUGAAGUGGAGCGAACCCCUAAAAGCCGUCCCAGUUCAGAUUGCAGUCUGCAACUCGACUGCAUGAAGUCGGAAUCGCUAGUAAUCGCGGAUCAGCAUGCCGCGGUGAAUACGUUCCCGGGCCUUGUACACACCGCCCGUCACACCAUGAGAGUCGGGAACACCCGAAGUCCGUAGCCUAACCGCGAAGGGGGCGCGGCCGAAGGUGGGUUCGAUAAUUGGGGUGAAGUCGUAACAAGGUACC
rnacentral:rRNA from 1 species